rnacentral:rRNA from 1 species
AGAGUUUGAUCAUGGCUCAGGAUGAACGCUGGCGGCGUGCCUAAUACAUGCAAGUCGAACGGGAAACUUGAAUUCGUUCAGGUGGAGAGUGGCGCACGGGUGAGUAACACAUGGCUGACCUGCCCUUCAGACGAGGACAACCGGUGGAAACGCUGGCUAAUACUCGAUACGUUCGGGGGAGUUAGAGACCCCUGAAGAAAGUGAUUAGCGCUGAAGGAGGGGGCUGUGGCCCAUCAGCUAGUUGGUAAGGUAACGGCUUACCAAGGCUCGGACGGGUAGGGGGCCUGAGAGGGUGACCCCCCACACGGGUACUGAGACACGGACCCGACUCCUACGGGAGGCAGCAGUAAGGGAUAUUGCGCAAUGGGCGAAAGCCUGACGCAGCAACGCCGCGUGCGGGAUGACGGCCUUCGGGUUGUAAACCGCUUUUCUGCGUGAAGAGGAAGGACGGUAGCGCAGGAAUAAGUCUCGGCUAACUACGUGCCAGCAGCCGCGGUAAAACGUAGGAGGCGAGCGUUAUCCGGAUUUACUGGGUGUAAAGCGCGUGCAGGCGGCUUUGUAAGUGGUGCGUGAAAGCGCUCAGGCUCAACCGGGCGAGGACGUGCCAAACUGCGGAGCUGGAGGUAGGUAGAGGCGUGUGGAAUUCCGGGUGUAGUGGUGAAAUGCGUAGAGAUCCGGAGGAACACCAGUGGCGAAGGCGACACGCUGGGCCUGACCUGACGCUAAGACGCGAAAGCAUGGGGAGCGAACGGGAUUAGAAACCCCGGUAGUCCAUGCCGUAAACGAUGUCUACUAAGUGUUGCGGGGUAGAACCUGCAGUGCUGCAGCCAACGUGAUAAGUAGACCACCUGGGGAGUACGGUCGCAAGGCUAAAACUCAAAGGAAUUGACGG